rnacentral:rRNA from 1 species
UACAGAGGGUGCAAGCGUUAAUCGGAAUUAUUGGGCGUAAAGCGCACGUAGGUGGAUUGAUAAGUUGGAUGUGAAAUCCCCGGGCUUAACCUGGGAAUUGCAUUCAAUACUGUUUAUCUAGAGUAUGGGAGAGGGAAGUGGAAUUUCUGGUGUAGCGGUGAAAUGCGUAGAUAUCAGAAGGAACAUCAGUGGCGAAGGCGACUUCCUGGCCUAAUACUGACACUAAGGUGCGAAAGCGUGGGGAGCAAACAGG